AACGAACGCUGGCGGCAUGCCUAACACAUGCAAGUCGAACGAGACCUUCGGGUCUAGUUGCGCACGGGUGCGUAACGCGUGGGAACCUGCCCUUAGGUUCGGAAUAACUCCCCGAAAGGGGUGCUAAUACCGGAUAAUGUCUUCGGACCAAAGAUUUAUCGCCCUUGGAUGGGCCCGCGUUGGAUUAGCUAGUUGGUAGGGUAAAAGCCUACCAAGGCGACGAUCCAUAGCUGGUCUGAGAGGAUGAGCAGCCACACUGGGACUGAGACACGGCCCAGACUCCUACGGGAAGCAGCAGUGGGGGAUAUUGGACAAUGGGCGGAAUCAUGAACCAGCAAUGCCGCGUGAGUGAUGAAGGUCUUAGAGUUGUAAAGCUCUUUUACCCGGGAUGAUAAUGACAGUACCGAAAGAAUAAGCUCCGGCUAACUCCGUG
rnacentral:rRNA from 1 species